rnacentral:misc_RNA from 1 species
GAUAUUGGGUAUGGCUUCUUCUUUGACUUUGAAUGAUUUAUUCUAUAUUUUUUUUUAUUCCCAAAAUWAACGACGAGAUUUUAUUAUCGUUUCUCGCAUGUCUCCGCGAAAGUCAGAGUAGGCGCGAAUUUYUCCCAAUUUGNUGACNCUACCAUACGAUCUGUUAUAUAAAUAGGUAAAUGUUCCUUUCCAUUAUGAAUAGCGAUUGUAUGGCCAAUCAUUGUGGGUAUAAUGGUAGAUGCCCGAGACCAAGUUACUAUUAUUUCUUUCUCCUCCCUCAUGUUGAGUUUUUCAAUUUUUCCCGAUAAAUGAUUAGCUACAAAAGGAUUUUUUUUUAGUGAACGUGUCACAGCUGAUUACUCCUUUUUUACAUUUUAAAGAUUGGCAUUCUAUGUCCAAUAGAAUAUCUCGAUCUAAGUAUGAAGGUAAGAAUAAAUACAAUAAUG